ACGGGUGAGUAACGCGUGGGUAACCUGCCUUAUACAGGGGGAUAACAGUUAGAAAUGACUGCUAAUACCGCAUAAGCGCACAGGAUUGCAUGAUCUGGUGUGAAAAACUCCGGUGGUAUAAGAUGGACCCGCGUCUGAUUAGCUGGUUGGUGAGGUAACGGCCCACCAAGGCGACGAUCAGUAGCCGACCUGAGAGGGUGACCGGCCACAUUGGGACUGAGACACGGCCCAGACUCCUACGGGAGGCAGCAUG
rnacentral:rRNA from 1 species